rnacentral:rRNA from 1 species
GACGAACGCUGGCGGCGUGCCUAAUACAUGCAAGUCGAGCGCAGGAAACUGACGGAACUCUUCGGAGGGAAGGCAGCGGAAUGAGCGGCGGACGGGUGAGUAACACGUAAGGAACCUGCCUCAAGGAUUGGGAUAACUCCGAGAAAUCGGAGCUAAUACCGGAUAGUUCAACGGACCGCAUGGUCCGCUGAUGAAAGGCGCUUCGGCGUCACCUUGAGCUGGCCUUGCGGUGCAUUAGCUAGUUGGUGGGGUAACGGCCCACCAAGGCGCACGAUGCCUAGCCGACCUGAGAGGGUGAUCGGCCACACUGGGACUGAGACACGGCCCAGACUCCUACGGGAGGCAGCAGUAGGGAAUCUUCCACAAUGGACGAAAGUCUGAUGGAGCAACGCCGCGUGAGUGAUGAAGGUUUUCGGAUCGUAAAACUCUGUUGUAAGGGAAGAACACGUACGAGAGGAAAUGCUCGUACCUUGACGGUACCUUACGAGAAAGCCACGGCUAACUACGUGCCAGCCGCCGCCGUAA